rnacentral:rRNA from 1 species
UACGUAGGGUGCAAGCGUUGUCCGGAAUUAUUGGGCGUAAAGAGCUCGUAGGCGGUCUGUCGCGUCUGCUGUAGAAAACCUAGGGCUUAACUCUGGGCGUGCAGUGGGUACGGGCAGGCUAGAGUGCGGGUAGGGGAGACUGGAAUUCCUGGUGUAGCGGUGAAAUGCGCAGAUAUCGAGGAGGACACCAAUAGCGAAGGCGCUCGCUGGGACGGUACUGACGCUAAGGCGCGAAAGCGUGGGGAGCGAACAGG